UACGUAGGUGGCGAGCGUUAUCCGGAAUUAUUGGGCGUAAAGAGCGCGCAGGUGGUUGAUUAAGUCUGAUGUGAAAGCCCACGGCUUAACCGUGGAGGGUCAUUGGAAACUGGUCAACUUGAGUGCAGAAGAGGGAAGUGGAAUUCCAUGUGUAGCGGUGAAAUGCGUAGAGAUAUGGAGGAACACCAGUGGCGAAGGCGGCUUCCUGGUCUGUAACUGACACUGAGGCGCGAAAGCGUGGGGAGCAAACAGG
rnacentral:rRNA from 3 species